UUAUGGAUCAUUCAUUUUGGUUAAAAUUGAAAUGAAAUGUGUCCGAAUGAGUCUUGUCUCAGUCACCACCGCAAGUUCCUCCGAGCUCUUUCUCUAUCGCACUAUCUAUCAUUCUCACGCUUUCUCCUUCCCUCUGCACCGCCGAUUUCAACCACUUUCCUCCUCCGCCGUACUCCGUCGUCUUCCACCGUACCGCGCUACCUCCCCCGGUUCUCCGCUCCCACCUUCCGAUAACAAUUCAAGCAACCUUAAAGGAGCAGAUGUUGGUGCAUCUUUAUCCAAAAUUCAAGAUAGGAUACAGAUAUUCUUUGCUGUUCUUUUCUGGUUGUCUCUAUUCUUUUGGGCUUCUGCCUGGGAUGGGAGGAAUAGACCAAACAAGGGAUCAAGAUUUAGAUGAUAAAAUAAUUACUUUUGCUAUGCAUUUCAGUUUAGACAAGAACCUUGAAGAUGUUUAAUUUAAUGACUGUCUCUGCUCUUUAUUGGAAGGACAAGUGGUUCCCUUCAUAGUGAAUGAUGUCUUUCCAUUCGGCUUAAACCAUGAUGCAUGAAACCCAGAAAAAAAAGAAUGAAACUUGGGAUUUGUUUCGAGUUGUUUUCUUGUUUUUCCUGAGCAAGCAGGUAUAGUAUGUGGAAAGGAAGGGUCAUUUUAGAUUGAACAUCAUUCAUUUAUGGAUGGAUUAAUCGUCAGUUUGAUGUGUUCAAAUGAAUUGAUAUUUUU